GUCAGGAAUGGUAAAGCCCCUUUUAUAUAUCGAGAGGGCUGAGCCUACUGAUUUUUGUUAAGGUUUCACAUUACUGCAUACAGUAAAUGGUCCUACUUGAGAUACUAGAGCAGCUCCCAGGUAAAGCAGGCAGACAGCACUCAGCCUAAAAAAGGAUCUUAUUCGUGAGAGUAUCAAAUUGCAAAAUAUGAAAGUAGAGGCUGCUGCCGAACUUACAAGAGAAAAGCAGAAAGAAUUCAAGUUAAUAAGCAGGUGGGAAAGAAAAUGUAGCUGAAGGGCAAGAGGAAAAAGAAGCCUCAAGCCUCAAACCAGAGGGUUCUCUGCUUGGGAUCUGACCCUCUGGAAAAUACCAUCUCACAAUGUCAAAAAAGGUUACUGGCAGCCGAGCUAAGGGAGAAAAACCUGAUGCACUGGCUGCUUUGCAAGCUGCCAAUGAAGAGCUCAGGGCCAAACUCACUGACAUUCAAAUUGAACUUCAGCUAGAAAAGACUAAGGUAAGCAAGUUAGAGAGAGAAAAAAAUCACGAAUUGAAGCAUGAACAAUACAAGUCAACUGUAGUUUUGACAGAACUUAAAACUAAACUUCAUGAAGAGAAAAUGAAAGAAUUGCAUUCAGUUCGGGAGAACAUGCUCCGGCAACAUGAGUCUGAGCUUCUGCGGGUCAUCAAAAUUAAAGAUAAUGAGAUCCAGAGGCUGCAGGCCCUCGUGAAUGCCUUGCGAGAUGGAACUACAGACAAGGUGAAAACCAUUCUCUUCUCUGAAGCCAAGGAAGAAGCGAAAAAGGUGUUUGAGUUUGAAAAGGUUAGAAUGCAGCAGGAGAUUUAUGAGCUGAAGGGAGUAAAGAGACAAAUGGAAGAAGCUUUAACUUUGGCAAUACAGGCGGACAAAAUUAAAGCUGCAGAGAUCAGGAGUGUCUAUCACCUGCAUCAAGAAGAAAUCAACAGAAUCAAAAGGGAAUGUGAAAGAGAGAUUCGUAGAUUGAUGGAUGAGAUUAAAUUAAAAGACAGAACAAUCUGCACACUGGAAAGAGAGUUGGGAGUCCAGGCAGGGCAAGCUGAAAGACUCCAGCUCCAAAAAGAUGCUUUAGAUGAACAACUUGUCCAAUUCAAAGAGGCUGAGCGACAUCUGGGUAGCCCAAAACGGGAGCUUCCAUUUGCAAGUGGUGCAGGAGAUGCUUCAGAUCAUUCAGGAAGCCCUGAACAGCAGUUGGAUGAAAAAGAUGCCCGCCGCUUCCAUCUUAAAAUUGCUGAAAUGAGUGCAAUUAUUAGAAAAUUAGAAGACCGUAAUGCUCUCCUAUCCGAAGAAAGAAAUGAACUGCUCAAACGUCUUCGUGAAGCUGAGAGUCAGUAUAAACCCCUAUUGGAUAAAAACAGGCGACUCAGCAGAAAGAAUGAAGAACUGAAUCACUCUCUACGUCGAAUGGAUAACAAACUGAAAUUUGUCACCCAGGAAAAUUUGGAAAUGAGGGAAAGAGUUGGAACAAUUAGACGCCCCAGCUCCUUAAAUGACCUCGAUCAAAGUCAAGAAGAAAGGGAGAUAGAAUUUCUGAGGCUACAAGUUAUUGAACAGCAAAAUAUUAUUGAUGAUCUUUCAAAGGCUUUGGAGACCGCCGGAUAUGUAAAGAGUGUCAUAGAAAGAGACAAACUUUUAAGAUACAGAAUACAGAGAAAAAAAAUAGUAAAGCCCUGUAAGAAGCCAGUGGUGGAAACAUUUUUUGGAUAUGAUGAAGAAGCCUCACUGGAUUCAGAUGGCUCUUCAAUAUCAUAUCAAACAGACAGAACUCCUUGCACCCCUGAUGAUGAUCUGGAAGAUGGGUUAGCCAAAGAAGAAACUGAACUACGCUUUCGUCAAUUGACUAUGGAGUACCAGGCUCUUCAGCGUGCCUAUGCACUAUUACAAGAACAAGUUGGAGGAACACUGGAUGCUGAAAGAGAAGUUAAGACUCGUGAACAACUACAGGCAGAAAUUAGUCGGUACCAAACAAGGAUAGAAGAUCUGGAAAAAACAUUGGAACAGCAGGGGCAGGAUAUGAAAUGGAUUGAAGAAAAGCAGGCACUCUAUCGAAGAAACCAAGAACUUGUGGAUAAGAUUAAGCAAAUGGAGUCAGAAGAAAGCAAGUUAAAACAUGACAUCCAAGAUGUUAAAGACCAAAAUGAGCUGUUAGAAUUUCGCAUCCUGGAACUUGAGGAGCGAGAAAGAAGAUCUCCUGCAAUUAAUUUUCAAAACAUUCCAUUCAUAGAGGGUACAAGUCCACUCCAAGUGUAUUGUGAAGCAGAAGGUGUCACGGAUAUUAUCAUAUCAGAUCUUAUGAAACAAUUGGACAUUUUAGGCGAUAACGGCGUAAGUAACUUGACAAAUGAUGAACAAGUUGUUGUUAUACAAGCAAGAACUAUUCUGGCUUUAGCAGAAAAAUGGCUCCAACAAAUAGAAGUCACAAAAUCUGCUUUACAGCAAAAAAUGCUUGACCUAGAAAAUGAAAAGGAUCUCUUCAGUAAACAGAAAGGUUAUCUGGAAGAGGAACUGGACUACAGAAAGCAGUCUAUGGAUCAGGCACACAAGAGGAUUCUUGAAUUGGAGGCUAUGCUGUUUGAUGCCCUACAGCAAGAAGCAGGUGCAAAAAUGUCAGAGAUUUUGUCUGAGGAGGAAAGGGAAACAUUAAAAAGUGCAGUGGAGCAGUGGAAACGGCAAGUCAUGAGUGAGCUAAGGGAACGUGAUGCACAGAUACUGAGGGAACGGAUGGAGUUGGUUCAUCAUGCACAACAGAGAAUUAAAGAGCUAGAAGAAAAAAUAGAAGCUCAAAAACGGCAAAUAAAAGAACUGGAGGAGAAGGGUUGUUGGAGUCCAGAACCUACUCUGGCUGUAUCAGGUGAAAGGCAAGAACAAACCUUGGAUAGGAUACCAGUCUGUUGCAGGGCUUGUACUGAAUACUGUGAAGCUUUUAACUGCCCACUAGGACGAAAUUGUAAAGCUGAAGCUACGAUAACUAGAACCAACUCUGUGUUUAUCUUUUUGGAAAGAAAUGCUAAAGUUGUAUUCUGAAUACCGCUACACCAAUUACUUAAUGAAAAAUAACAAUCCUGGCAGGACUUGUAUCUGAUGAUGAUUUUUCAAGGCAAUGUGAUUUUUUGGAUAACACAUCUAAAGAUGAGAGAUUGAAUAAAUUUAAGUGUGUAGAACCAAUGAUAUAUACAUACAUUUUCCCUGCUGAGCAGGUUGUAUUAUGAACUGCUUCUUUUUUAGGAGCAUGAAUGAAAAAGAGAAAAAAGGCAAUGGUGACUUUUUCUUUGGGUCUGUUUUAUUUAUUUUUUUACCUUAUGGUAUUCAUGUAUUUCAUAAUAAAGAGAACCCUUAUUUAUAUUAGCUAGACUUAUGUUAUGAAAAAGACUAUGAGAAACAAGUCAUUUCAAGACAUUUAUAAAGCAUGCUGCUUAAAAAAAAAAUCCCAGGAAGAACUUUUAUCAUGGAAAGAAUAAUUUUUUUUAGGAAACACGUUCUUACGAAGAUGUUUACCUCAAUCAAGUGGUGCUUUGACCCAACAGAAAAAGAACGCAACAUGUUAUAUUAUCCCUCAAUUACAGCAGAUCCACAGAAUCAACAUUUUAUUAAGUAUACUAUUUUUUGCCUAUUAAGCAAUGGGAUCAUGGGAUAAUGAGAGUCUAUUACCAAUGCAGGAAUAACAGCUGAUGAAGUAAAGAGGAAGCAGUCAAAACUCAUGCUGUAUCUGGACUCUCUGAGUAACAAGACCAAAUAAUGGACACAAAACUUAGAAAAGAGAAUCUGGUGAAGAACAACAAAAACAAUUGACUGUCAAAUACUUCAUUAGACAGGGAUAAUCUCUGGAUAUUGAUUGCAUAUACUUACUGUGUAACAGGAACAUCAUUAUAGG